AGGAUUCCCUCAGUAAUGGCGAAUGAACAGGGAUCAGCUCAGCAUGGAAAUUGGGGCCUUGGCCUUGAAUUGUAGUCUCGAGAUGUAUUGCCAACGGAGGCGCAGAUGUAAGCCUCUUGGAAAAGAGCAUCAACGAGGGUGAGAGUCCCGUUUGUCAUCUGCAGACCCCCGUGCACGGCGUACCUUCCAAGAGUCGCGUUCCUCGGAAUUGGAGCGUAAAUUGGGUGGUAAAUUUCAUCUGAAGCUAAAUAUUGGUUCGAGACCGAUAGCAAACAAGUACCAUGAGGGAAAGGUGAAAAGGACUUUGAAAAGAGAGUUAAAAGUGCCUGAAAUUGCUGAAAGGGAAGCGAAUGGAACCAGUGCGCUUGGUGAGAUUGUCACAUGGCUUCCAUGUGGUGGUUCUUGCCUUGUGUGUCAUUGCCAGUUUGCGUUCGAGGAAAACUCCAGAGACAUGGUAGCCUGGCCUCGGCUGGGUGAAUGUGUCUGGUAGAACUCAUUCGCGUACUGUUUUCUGUGUCUGGUUGCAGUGCACUGUGCCAUCUGGGGGUGGCUGGAGAGGGAGUUUACUCCACUUCUUUGGCUAACUUCUGGGUGACCAGGGCACUUCCUUGACACAUAGACGAUGACUAAAUGGUUCUUUUCGACCCGUCUUGAAACACGGACCAAGGAGUCUAACAUAUGUGCGAGUCCACGGGUGUCAAACCUGCUGGCGCAGUGAAAGCGACUGCUGGGAUCUUUGCACCAGCAACCGACCAAUCAAUUGAGAGAGGUUUGAGUAUGAGCAUAUCUGUUAGGACCCGAAAGAUGGUGAACUAUGCCUGAGAAGGGCAAACUCAGGGGAAACUCUGAUGGAGGCUCGUAGCGAUACUGACGUGCAAAUCGUUCGUCAUACUUGGGUAUAGGGGCGAAAGACUAAUCGAACCAUCUAGUAGCUGGUUCCCUCCGAAGUUUCCCUCAGGAUAGCUGGAGUUGAACAGUUUUAUCAGGUAAAGCGAAUGAUUAGAGGAAUCGGGGGCGCGUUGUCCUCGACCUAUUCUCAAACUUUAAAUGGGUAAGAUCCAGUGGUUACUUGGGUGAACUUCUGGGAUAAAUGACAACUCUAAGUGGGCCAUUUUUGGUAAGCAGAACUGGCGAUGAGGGAUGAACCUAACGUUGGGUUAAGGUGCUUAACUGCUCGCUCAUCAGAUACCAUAAAGGGUGUUGGUUCAUUUUAACAGCAGGACGGUGGUCAUGGAAGUUGAAAUCCGCUAAGGAGUGUGUAACAACUCACCUGCCGAAUGGACUAGCCCCGAAAAUGGAUGGCGCUUAAGCGGGUGACCGAUACCCAACCAUUGUUGCAAUUGUGUCGCAUCAAUGAGUAGGAGGGCAUGGGGGUUGUGAUGAAGCUUUGGCGCAA
rnacentral:rRNA from 1 species